CACGGGGGGAGCAAGCGUUGUUCGGAUUCAUUGGGCGUAAAGGGCUCGUAGGUGGCUUUGUAAGUCGGAGGUGAAAUCCCACGGCUCAACCGUGGACACGCCUUCGAAACUGUGAAGCUUGAGGCGGGGAGAGGAGAUCGGAAUUCCUGGUGUAGCGGUGAAAUGCGUAGAUAUCAGGAGGAACACCGGUGGCGAAGGCGGUUCUCUGGGCAUUACCUGACGCUGAGGAGCGAAAGUGUGGGGAGCGGACAGG
rnacentral:rRNA from 1 species